CGCGGGAUUACUCCUACGGAGGCAGCAGUAAGGAAUAUUGGUCAAUGGAGGCAACUCUGAACCAGCUAUGCCGCGUGCAGGAUGACGGCCCUAUGGGUUGUAAACUGCUUUUGUACCAGAGAAAACCUACUCACGUGUGAGUAGCUGAUAGUAUGGUAAGAAUAAGCAUCGGCUAACUUCGUGCCAGCAGCCGCGGUAAUAAUCACUAGU
rnacentral:rRNA from 1 species